UAUUGCACAAUGGGGGAAACCCUGAUGCAGCAACGCCGCGUGAGUGAUUGAAGUAUUUCGGUAUGUAAAACUCUAUCAGCAGGGAAGAAGAUGACGGUACCUGAUUAAGAAGCCCCGGCUAACUACGUGCCAGCAGCCGCGGUAAUCCGUAGGGGGCAAGCGUUAUCCGGAAUUACUGGGUGUAAAGGGAGCGUAGACGGUAAUGUAAGUCUGGAGUGAAAGGCGGGGGCCCAACCCCCGGACUGCUCUGGAAACUAUGUUACUAGAGUGCAGGAGAGGUAAGCGGAAUUCCUAGUGUAGCGGUGAAAUGCGUAGAUAUUAGGAGGAACACCAGUGGCGAAGGCGGCUUACUGGACUGUAACUGACGUUGAGGCUCGAAAGCGUGGGGAGCAAACAGG
rnacentral:rRNA from 1 species